rnacentral:rRNA from 1 species
UGGGGAAUUUUGGACAAUGGGCGAAAGCCUGAUCCAGCCAUUCCGCGUGCAGGAUGAAGGCCCUCGGGUUGUAAACUGCUUUUGUACAGAACGAAAAAGCUCUGGUUAAUACCUGGAGUCCAUGACGGUACUGUAAGAAUAAGCACCGGCUAACUACGUGCCAGCAGCCGCGGUAAUACGUAGGGUGCAAGCGUUAAUCGGAAUUACUGGGCGUAAAGCGUGCGCAGGCGGUGAUGUAAGACAGUUGUGAAAUCCCCGGGCUCAACCUGGGAACUGCAUCUGUGACUGCAUCGCUGGAGUGCGGCAGAGGGGGAUGGAAUUCCGCGUGUAGCAGUGAAAUGCGUAGAUAUGCGGAGGAACACCGAUGGCGAAGGCAAUCCCCUGGGCCUGCACUGACGCUCAUGCACGAAAGCGUGGGGAGCAAACAGGAUUAGAUACCCUGGUAGUCCACGCCCUAAACGAUGUCAACUGGUUGUUGGGAGGGCUUCUUCUCAGUAACGUAGCUAACGCGUGAAGUUGACNGNCUGGGGAGUACGGCCGCAAGGUUA